rnacentral:miRNA from 1 species
UCUCCAGCUGUUUUUGGACUACAACUCCCAUCAUCCCUAGCUAGCAGGACAAGUGGUCAGAGAUGAUGGGAACUGUAGUCCAAAAACAGCUGGAGA